GACGAACGCUGGCGGCGUGCCUAAUACAUGCAAGUCGAACGAGAGCGACCGGUGCUUGCACUGGUCAAUCUAGUGGCGAACGGGUGAGUAACACGUGGGUAACCUGCCCAUCAGAGGGGGAUAACAUUCGGGAACGGAUGCUAAAACCGCAUAGGUCUUCGAACCGCAUGGUUUGAAGAGGAAAAGAGGCGCAAGCUUCUGCUGAUGGAUGGACCCGCGGUGCAUUAGCUAGUUGGUGAGGUAACGGCUCACCAAGGCCGUGAUGCAUAGCCGACCUGAGAGGGUGAUCGGCCACAUUGGGACUGAGACACGGCCCAAACUCCUACGGGAGGCAGCAGUAGGGAAUCUUCCGCAAUGGACGCAAGUCUGACGGAGCAACGCCGCGUGAGUGAAGAAGGUUUUCGGAUCGUAAAACUCUGUUGUUAGAGAAGAAUAAGUGCUAGAGUAACUGUUAGCGCCUUGACGGUAUCUAACCAGAAAGCCACGGCUAACUACGUG
rnacentral:rRNA from 1 species